rnacentral:rRNA from 1 species
UGAGGAAUAUUGGUCAAUGGGCGCAAGCCUGAACCAGCCAUGCCGCGUGCAGGAUGAAGCAUCUAUGGUGUGUAAACUGCUUUUGUACGGGAAGAAACCACCCCUCGUGAGGGGUAUUGACGGUACCGUAAGAAUAAGGAUCGGCUAACUCCGUGCCAGCAGCCGCGGUAAUACGGAGGAUCCAAGCGUUAUCCGGAAUCAUUGGUUGUAAAGGGUCCGUAGUCGGGUCUGUAAGUCAGUGGUGAAAUCUCCCCGCUCAACGGGGAAACUGCCAUUGAUACUGCAGGUCUUGAAUUAUUGGGAAGUAACUAGAAUAUGUAGUGUAGCGGUGAAAUGCUUAGAGAUUACGUGGAACACCGAUGGCGAAGGCAAUCCCCUGGGCCUGUACUGACGCUCAUGCACGAAAGCGUGGGGAGCAAACA